UACGUAGGUGGCAAGCGUUAUCCGGAAUUAUUGGGCGUAAAGAGCGCGCAGGUGGUUGAUUAAGUCUGAUGUGAAAGCCCACGGCUUAACCGUGGGAGGGUCAUUGGAAACUGGUCGACUUGAGUGCAGAAGAGGGAAGUGGAAUUCCAUGUGUAGCGGUGAAAUGCGUAGAGAUAUGGAGGAACACCAGUGGCGAAGGCGGCUUCCUGGUCUGUAACUGACACUGAGGCGCGAAAGCGUGGGGAGCAAACAGG
rnacentral:rRNA from 1 species